rnacentral:rRNA from 1 species
CCUACGGGUGGCAGCAGUGAGGAAUAUUGGUCAAUGGACGCAAGUCUGAACCAGCCAUGCCGCGUGCAGGAAGACGGCUCUCUGAGUUGUAAACUGCUUUUGUACGAGGGUAAACGCAGAUACGCGUAUCUGUCUGAAAGUAUCGUACGAAUAAGGAUCGGCUAACUCCGUGCCAGCAGCCGCGGUAAUACGGAGGAUUCAAGCGUUAUCCGGAUUUAUUGGGUGUAAAGGGUGCGUAGGCGGUCGGAUAAGUUAGAGGUGAAAUCCCGAGGCUCAACUUCGGAAUUGCCUCUGAUACUGUGCGGCUAGAGAGUAGUAGCGGUAGGCGGAAUGUAUGGUGUAGCGGUGAAAUGCUUAGAGAUCAUACAGAACACCGAUGGCGAAGGCAGCUUACCAAGCUACUUCUGACGUUGAGGCACGAAAGCGUGGGGAGCAAACAGGAUUAGAUACCCCAGUAGUC